CAGCCGCCACGGUAAUACGUAGGGUGCAAGCGUUAAUCGGAAUUACUGGGCGUAAAGCGUGCGCAGGCGGUUAUAUAAGACAGAUGUGAAAUCCCCGGGCUCAACCUGGGAACUGCAUUUGUGACUGUAUAGCUAGAGUACGGCAGAGGGGGAUGGAAUUCCGCGUGUAGCAGUGAAAUGCGUAGAUAUGCGGAGGAACACCGAUGGCGAAGGCAAUCCCCUGGGCCUGUACUGACGCUCAUGCAUGAAAGCGUGGGGAGCAAACAGGAUUAGAUACCCCUGUAGUCCCUGUCUCUUAUAC
rnacentral:rRNA from 1 species